ensembl:lncRNA novel transcript, antisense to GRB2
CUGAAAGGAAGGCCUCACCCUGGGGAUGGCACCUGUCUCUUCUCGGUUAAACAGGCCUGUCUCCCUCCCUUCCCCACCGCCAUCCUUUCUGGUCUUCUGAGAAUGCUGGCUUCCCUACUGCACAGUCAAGAGCAAGCAAAGCAAAACUCUUUGGUCUCGAGCUGCUGCACUCUUCUCGAAACUAAACCAUGAUCUGCUCCCAGGAGAGCAGGAGAAAGUAAAUGUAAAAGAUUCUGUGAGAACCCUGAGAUACUGUAUCAGACGAUGAGGAACUGGCAGUAGUACAAUGAACGGUGUAGUGAAGCGUCUCCAGCCAUGAAUAUAGGACACAACCUAGAUCUGUGGAUAACUAAAUAAAAAUAAAGCCCCGUU